AUAGCUUUAGGGCUAGCCUCAAGGUGAGAGAUACGGAGGUAGAGCACUGAAUGUCCUAGGGGGUAUUGCACCUACCGAAGACUAUCAAACUCCGAAUGCCGUCAUCUUAUACUUGGGAGUCAGACUGUGGGUGAUAAGAUUCAUAGUCGAAAGGGCAACAGCCCAGAUCGUCAGCUAAGGUCCCUAAAUGUAAGUUAAGUGGUAAAGGAUGUGGGAUUGCACAGACAACCAGGAUGUUGGCUUAGAAGCAGCCACUCAUUCAAAGAGUGCGUAAUAGCUCACUGGUCGAGUGAUCCUGCGCCGAAGAUUUCCGGGGCUAAAACUUACUACCGAAGCUACGGCAUCAGUAAUGAUGGGUAGGGGAGCUUCCCAUACGGGUUGAAGCAUGACCGUAAGGACAUGUGGACAGUAUGGGAGUG
rnacentral:rRNA from 1 species